rnacentral:rRNA from 1 species
GAUGAACGCUAGCGGCAGGCUUAACACAUGCAAGUCGAGGGGCAACACGGGUAGCAAUACCUGGUGGCGACCGGCGCAAGGGUGCGUAACGCGUGAGCAACAUGCCCUAUACAGGGGGAUAAUCCAGGGAAACUUGGUCUAAUAUCCCAUAGUAUUUAGAGGUGGCAUCACCACUAAAUUAAAGCUUCGGUGGUAUAGGAUUGGCUCGCGUGACAUUAGCUGGAUGGUGGGGUAACGGCUCACCAUGGCGAUGAUGUCUAGGGGUUCUGAGAGGAAGACCCCCCAACUGGGACUGAGACACGGCCCAGACUCCUACGGGAGGCAGCAGUGAGGAAUAUUGGACAAUGGAUGGAAAUCUGAUCCAGCCAUGCCGCGUGCAGGAAGACGGCCCUAUGGGUUGUAAACUGCUUUUAUAUGGGAGCAAUAAGGUUUACGCGUAGAACCGAUGAGAGUACCAUAUGAAUAAGCAUCGGCUAACUCCGUG